rnacentral:tRNA from 1 species
GCCGAAGUGGCGGAACGGCAGACGCAGAGGACUCAAAAUCCUCCACCCUUAAAAGUGUGUGGGUUCAAAUCCCACCUUCGGCACCA